rnacentral:tRNA from 1 species
CGGGGUGUGGCGCAGCCUGGCAGCGCGACUGGUUUGGGACCAGUAGGUCGCAGGUUCGAAUCCUGUCACCCCGA